ensembl:snoRNA U3 Small nucleolar RNA U3
AAGAAUCAUACUUUCAGGGAUCAUUUCUAUAGUCUUUGACUUGAGAAAUAAGAGGAAUGUGAUGAACUCUAGGUUUCGAUGAAGAGAACUGAUGUUUCCCUUCUGAGCUGUGAAGCUGGCAGUGAGUGAUGAUGCAUUUCAUCCGCUCCUUGCCGUUGAUGACCGUUCCAUGCUCUCUAGUGGAGCCUGGAGGAGGGAUCAUGAUCAGAGUGGU